CCCGCUGCCUCCCUGUUGCAGCUCCGUCUCAGGUCUAUUCUUGCAGAUUCUCAGCCCACAGAACACACGAGGAGAGGACAGUCGCUCUGAGCUACUACUGGAUCAAGGUUUUUUGCAAUUUGCUAGAAACAAGUGGAUCAGGAACUCAGAUGAGGACUCCUUAAAUCCCUCACUCUUCUAGUAUUUAUUUUUCUUUAUUCAAGUGGAUUUUCCCUUUUCAAGUGAAUAAGGAGAGGAAACUGCCUGGGAUACAGCAAAAAAAGAGUCUCCUGAGUGAAGGAUGUUUGUAUCCAGGGCAGCAAUGCCACUUCCUACUACAUGAGAAAAACCCUGAUGACUUUGUGGGACUGCCAUCUGCUCCGUUCCCAAAAUGACAGCAUCUGCCAGAACAUUCAGGUUUCCAGCCUGUGAUGCUCCAGUAGGUUAUUCAAACUACA